rnacentral:lncRNA from 1 species
UUUUACAGGCAUGAAAAAUCAAACUGAUCCAUAUGUUGAAUUUAUGACUUUAUAUAUGUCUUCUUGUAUGCCCCCUCCUCCAGGGUAAGACCGAACCUUUGUAUCUCCCUCAUUACCUUGUACAACGCCUUGUACUCUAAAGAUUCAUCGAACCCGGAUUGACUAGGUACUUUGCGGACACGUUGCAUCUGUCAAGGUUGAGCUGGAAAUAGGGGAGGAAUCAAGCAGAAGAAUCAAAAGAGAAAUGGAAGAAGCUGAGAGAAAGGACCAUUUACAAAGGCCGCCCAUUGUCUGAGCUAACCGGAAGUCAGCGGAGUAGAUCAAGGUGGAGACUGAUUUGGAAAGACACAUGGAGAAAAUGCAGCGGACGCCUAUAGCGAAGGGCGUUCUUUCACUCAACACCUAUUGAUUACCUUGGGCCCAGAGUGAAGCCCCCCCCACCCCAACACGGAGAAGCUCCACCCAGGUCUGCAGCACCUCCAG